rnacentral:rRNA from 1 species
CCUACGGGUGGCAGCAGUGGGGAAUAUUGCACAAUGGGGGAAACCCUGAUGCAGCGACGCCGCGUGAGUGAAGAAGGAAUUCGUUAUGUAAAGCUCUAUCAGCAGGGAAGAAAAUGACGGUACCUGCGUAAGAAGCACCGGCUAACUACGUGCAAGCAGCCGCGGCAAUACGUAGGGGGCAAGCGUUAUCCGGAUUUACUGGGUGUAAAGGGAGCGUAGACGGCAGUGUAAGCCUGGAGUGAAAGGCGUAGGCUCAACCCCCGGACUGCUCAGGAAACUGUACGGCUGGAGUGCAGGAGAGGAAAGUGGAAUUCCUAGUGUAGCGGUGAAAUGCGUAGAUAUUAGGAAGAACACCAGUGGCGAAGGCGGCUUACUGGACUGUAACUGACGUUGAGGCUCGAAAGCGUGGGGAGCAAACAGGAUUAGAUACCCUAGUAGUC